CCGAUUGGUGGCCCCAGCCCCCGAAUCGACCAGGAUCUCAAACUCGAGUUCUCGGUCGAUUCGGGGGCGGGGGCUGCCAAUCUG
rnacentral:pre_miRNA from 1 species